rnacentral:rRNA from 1 species
GAGUGGCGAACGGGUGAGUAACACGUGGGUAACCUGCCCAGAAGUAGGGGAUAACACCUGGAAACAGAUGCUAAUACCGUAUAACAGAGAAAACCGCAUGGUUUUCUUUUAAAAGAUGGCUCUGCUAUCACUUCUGGAUGGACCCGCGGCGUAUUAGCUAGUUGGUGAGGUAAAGGCUCACCAAGGCAGUGAUACGUAGCCGACCUGAGAGGGUAAUCGGCCACAUUGGGACUGAGACACGGCCCAGACUCCUACGGGAGGCAGCAGUAGGGAAUCUUCCACAAUGGACGCAAGUCUGAUGGAGCAACGCCGCGUGAGUGAAGAAGGGUUUCGGCUCGUAAAGCUCUGUUGUUAAAGAAGAACGUGGGUAAGAGUAACUGUUUACCCAGUGACGGUAUUUAACCAGAAAGCCACGGCUAACUACGUGCCAGCAGCCGCGGUAAUACGUAGGUGGCAAGCGUUAUCCGGAUUUAUUGGGCGUAAAGCGAGCGCAGGCGGUUCUUUUAAGUCUAAUGUGAAAGCCUUCGGCUCAACCGAAGAAGUGCAUUGGAAACUGGGAGACUUGAGUGCAGAAGAGGACAGUGGAACUCCAUGUGUAGCGGUGAAAUGCGUAGAUAUAUGGAAGAACACCAGUGGCGAAGGCGGCUGUCUGGUCUGCAACUGACGCUGAGGCUCGAAAGCAUGGGUAGCGAACAGGAUUAGAUACCCUGGUAGUCCAUGCCGUAAACGAUGAUUACUAAGUGUUGGAGGGUUUCCGCCCUUCAGUGCUGCAGCUAACGCAUUAAGUAAUCCGCCUGGGGGAGUACGACCGCAAGGUUGAAACUCAAAAGAAUUGACGGGGGCCCGCACAAGCGGUGGAGCAUGUGGUUUAAUUCGAAGGCUACGCGAAGGAACCUUACCAGGUCUUGACAUCUUCUGACAGUCUAAGAGAUUAGAGGUUCCCUUCGGGGACAGAAUGACAGGUGGUGCAUGGUUGUCGUCAGCUCGUGUCGUGAGAUGUUGGGUUAAGUCCCGCAACGAGCGCAACCCUUAUUACUAGUUGCCAGCAUUAAGUUGGGCACUCUAGUGAGACUGCCGGUGACAAACCGGAGGAAGGUGGGGACGACGUCAAAUCAUCAUGCCCCUUAUGACCUGGGCUACACACGUGCUACAAUGGAUGGUACAACGAGUCGCGAGACCGCGAGGUUAAGCUAAUCUCUUAAAACCAUUCUCAGUUCGGACUGUAGGCUGCAACUCGCCUACACGAAGUCGGAAUCGCUAGUAAUCGCGGAUCAGCAUGCCGCGGUGAAUACGUUCCCGGGCCUUGUACACACCGCCCGUCACACCAUGAGAGUUUGUAACAC